rnacentral:rRNA from 1 species
GAGAACGGGUUAAAGCUUGCUUUAACUGUCAGCUAAGUGGCGCACGGGUGAGUAAUAUAUAGGUAACAUGCCUCUUACUAAGGGAUAACAGUUGGAAACGAUUGCUAAUACCUUAUAUGCCUUUAAUACGUAAGUAUGCAAGGGAAAGAUUUAUUGGUAAGAGAUUGGCCUGUACGGUAUCAGCUAGUUGGUGGGGUAAUGGCUCACCAAGGCAAUGACACCUAACUGGUUUGAGAGGAUGAUCAGUCACACUGGAACUGAGACACGGUCCAGACUCCUACGGGAGGCAGCAGUGGGGAAUAUUGCACAAUGGGCGAAAGCCUGAUGCAGCAACGCCGCGUGGAGGAUGACACAUUUCGGUGCGUAAACUCCUUUUAUAGGUCAAGAUAAUGACGGUAGCCUAUGAAUAAGCGCCGGCUAACUCCGUGCCAGCAGCCGCGGUAAUACGGAGGGCGCAAGCGUUACUCGGAAUCACUGGGCGUAAAGAGCGUGUAGGCGGAUUAAUAAGUCAGAAGUGAAAUCCAAUAGCUUAACUAUUGAACUGCUUUUGAAACUGUUGAUCUAGAGUGUGGGAGAGGUAGAUGGAAUUUCUGGUGUAGGGGUAAAAUCCGUAGAUAUCAGAAGGAAUACCGAUUGCGAAGGCGAUCUACUGGAACAUAACUGACGCUGAGACGCGAAAGCGUGGGGAGCAAACAGGAUUAGAUACCCUGGUAGUCCACGCCCUAAACGAUGUACACUAGUUGUUACGAUACUAGAUAUUGCAGUAAUGCACCUAACGGAUUAAGUGUACCGCCUGGGGAG